GCAUUAGUGGUUUAAUGGUUGAAUUCUCCCAUUCCAUUCGGGAGACCUGGGUUUGACUCCCGGCCAAUGCA
rnacentral:tRNA from 1 species